UUCAACGAUGGGUUGUUGUCA
rnacentral:siRNA from 1 species